CCACGGCCAGCCCCACAGUCCUGCUGCCCACGGCCACGGGGAACAGCACGGUGGCGGGAGGGAGCUUCCCUGGCUGGGCUCUGGCCAUCAUCAUACCCUGCGGUAUCGCCAUCAUCCUGGUGCCCUGUUGGAUCCUCCUGUGUUGCCUGCUGUGUGGCUGCUGUGCAGCUCUUAGAAGACGCUGGCACAGGAGACGGUCCUACAACGUGCAAUACACCACACGGAACAGCCUCUUCUGAGAAGACCCAUCCAGCACUUACCCAUAGAAGAGUCAACCAACAUCAACAGCAUCUACCCCAAAAAGACCUUCGUCUCCUACGACAUGAUGCACCAUCCCACGAUGCUAUGAUACACUUCACUUCAGGGAUCAGAGGGGAAAUGAAUGAUCUUUUCACUGUUGUUAAGAAACACUUUUAACAGUAUGUGUUUCUCAGAAAAUGCUGGUCAAUGGACACUUGGUAUUUCGCAAACACCGUCUUCAUUUUCACUUUAGCAGUUUGAUACUGUGUUGAUGUUCUGCUAUGCAAAUACAUGACCUCCUUCUUUUGUCUGUAAAAUAAGCCUCGACGUUCAGCUGGAAUCUGAAUAUUUAAUUGCUGUCAGUGUUUUCUUAGAAACAUUCUGUCAUUUGUAUGUGCAUGUCAAAAUCGGCUACUCUAUGGCUGGAUAAUGUGUGCGCUGUCAUUGUUGUAGGUCUACCGUUAUUAUAUGGGAGAAGCAUGUUCC